rnacentral:rRNA from 1 species
UACAGGGGGUGCAAACGUUGCUCGGAAUUAUUGGGCGUAAAGCGCGCGUAGGCGGCCACUUAAGUCGGAUGUGAAAGCCCCUGGCUCAACUGGGGAAGUGCACCCGAAACUGAAUGGCUUGAAUGCAAAAGAGGGUCGCGGAAUUCCCGGUGUAGAGGUGAAAUUCGUAGAUAUCGGGAGGAACACCAGUGGCGAAGGCGGCGACCUGGGCCAAUAUUGACGCUGAGGUGCGAAAGCGUGGGGAGCAAACAGG